CCCUUAGAUGUUCUGGGCCGCACGCGCGCUACACUGAUUCAUGCAACGAGUUUUGUCCUUGGCUGAAAGGCCUGGGUAAUCUUUGAACGUGAAUCGUGCUGGGGAUAGAUGAUUGCAAUUAUUCAUCUUCAACGAGGAAUUCCUAGUAAACGCAAGUCAUCAGCUUGCAUUGAUUACGUCCCUGCCCUUUGUACACACCGCCCGUCGCACCUACCGAUUGAAUGGUCCGGUGAAAUCUUCGGAUCUGAGAGAUGUUGGAUUAAUUUCUGACGCCUUUUGGAAAAGUCGCUUAAACCUUNUNAUUUAUNGGAAGGUGAANUCGUANCA
rnacentral:rRNA from 1 species